rnacentral:rRNA from 1 species
UAGGGAAUCUUCCGCAAUGGGCGAAAGCCUGACGGAGCAACGCCGCGUGAGUGAAGAAGGAUUUCGGUUCGUAAAGCUCUGUUGUUAGGGAAGAAUGAUUGUGUAGUAACUAUACACAGUAAAGACGGUACCUAACCAGAAAGCCACGGCUAACUACGUGCCAGCAGCCGCGGUAAUACGUAAGUGGCAAGCGUUGUCCGGAAUUAUUGGGCGUAAAGCGCGCGCAGGUGGUUUAAUAAGUCUGAUGUGAAAGCCCACGGCUCAACCGUGGAGGGUCAUUGGAAACUGUUAAACUUGAGUGCAGGAGAGAAAAGUGGAAUUCCUAGUGUAGCGGUGAAAUGCGUAGAGAUUAGGAGGAACACCAGUGGCGAAGGCGGCUUUUUGGCCUGUAACUGACACUGAGGCGCGAAAGCGUGGGGAGCAAACAGGAUUAGAUACCCUGGUAGUCCACGCCGUAACGAUGAGUGCUAAGUGUUGGUCUCAUAAGAGAUCAUUGCUGCAGCUNACGCAUUAAGCACUCCGCCUGGGGAGUACNACCGCAAGGUUG